GCAGCUGCAGGUAGCAGCCUUGAACCACGACACGGCCACCAGCGGCGGCGGGAAGCUCCGCCCGGUUUGAGCUCGUUUUGGUUCCAAGCUUGAUAUCUCAAGCUACCGGCCAACAAUCCUCACCAAACUUCACCCACGAGCUCGCCUCAACGUCCUGAAGCUCCCAGAAGUGGCCUUGCACGGCGGCGCUACUCGUGGUGGCGGCUGGAAGCCAGACCCGAUCAAAUCGAAAACCGAAGCUUCGAUCGGUAUAUCUCGAGCUGUAGUGCAUCGUUUUGAUUGAUUCUUUUUCCAGUGGGUUCCCCUUGAUGUUGUUAACAACUCUCUAGAAGGCAUCGAGGCCUGAAAUUGAAGUUUUUACGUCGAUCGGAGCCCUCGCCGGAUUCUGCAAAAUUCUGCAAAUUUUCCGACCACCGAAGCUUUCGAUCGGUAUAUCUCGAGCUACAGACCAUAUUUUUCUGUGAUUCUUGAACCAAUGCGUUCGUCUUGAGUUUCUUAACAACUCUCUAGAAGGAAUCGAAGCCUGAAAUUGAAGUUUUGACGUCGAAAUCAAGCCUUGCCGGAUUCUGCAAAUUUCGCCGGAUUCUGGAAAUUUUCCGGCCACCUCGACUGUUCUAGGUUAUUGACGGUUUGAGUUGGUGGACGAUUGUGGAUCGUAUUUUGAGCUGAAUUGAAGACGCAGCGGGAUUAUCGAGCGGGAAAUCCUACAGGUCAGGAGAACCAGGACGGUGAUCGGGCUGCUUAGAGUAGUGUUAUGUGAAUUACAGCAUUAUAUUGUGAGGUUUGUUAUGCUCAUUUAGAGCUUUGCAAUUUUACUUUGUAAGAGUGAAUUGUAAUAAUUAACUCGAGGUUUUCGAGUUUUUGUGUUGAGUGGCGAGUGGUAUGUUUGUUUGUGAGAAAAAAAUUCAGAACGUUAUUUGUAUUAAUU